GAGGUUAAAGGCUAAAGGAUAAAGGCAAAAGGUAUGUACCUUAGCAUAAUCCGGGAGAUCAUUUAAUAUCGGCAAUAAAAAUAAACAGGGGGAGCCCAGGGGAAAAGGACCUUUAACCUUUCGCCUUUAAGCUUUCACCUUAAAAGAAAUUCAGGUGCCUAUAUCGGCGGUGUCUACCUCUUCCCAUUCCGAACAGAGAAGUCAAGCCCGCCAGAGCCGAUGGUACUGCGGUAAAACGUGGGAGAGUAGGUCGGUGCCACCC
rnacentral:rRNA from 1 species